UACGUAGGGGGCUAGCGUUGUCCGGAAUCAUUGGGCGUAAAGAGCGUGUAGGCGGCCCGGUAAGUCCGCUGUAAAAGUCAAAGGCUCAACCUUUGAAUGUCAGUGGAUACUGCCGGGCUAGAGUCCGGAAGAGGCGAGUGGAACUCCUGGUGUAGCGGUGAAAUGCGUAGAGAUCGGGAGGAACACCAGUGGCGAAGGCGGCUACCUGGACCAGCACUGACACUGAGGCACGAAAGCGUGGGGAGCAAACAGG
rnacentral:rRNA from 1 species